rnacentral:rRNA from 1 species
AAUCAACGCUGGCGGCGUGCCUAACACAUGCAAGUCGAACGCGAAAGCCCCGCAAGGGGCAAGUAGAGUGGCAAACGGGUGAGUAACACGUGGGUGACCUGCCUUCGAGCGGGGGAUAACGUCCCGAAAGGGACGCUAAUACCGCAUAACAUCCUGCCUUUGAAGAGGCGGAGAUCAAAGCUGGGGAUCGCAAGACCUGGCACUUGAAGAGGGGCCCNCGUCUGAUUAGCAGGUUGGUGGGGUAAUGGCCUACCAAGGCAACGAUCAGUAUCCGGCCUGAGAGGGCGGACGGACACACUGGGACUGAGACACGGCCAGACUCCUACGGGAGGCAGCAGUGGGGAAUUGUUCGCAA